rnacentral:misc_RNA from 1 species
AACGCAUCUUGCGCUCCUUGGUAUUCCGAGGAGCAUGCCUGUUUGAGUGUCAUUUGACCUUCUCAACCACAUCGUUCUUGUUUUGAAUGUGUGUGGCUUGGAUGUGGGGGGAAUAAUUUUAUAUUUUUGCAGGCUUCAAAUCAAGAAGCCAGCUCCCCUGAAAUGAAUUAGUGGUGUCUGAGCUGCUAUUGGUGUGAUAAAUUAUCUAUGCCUUUGGUGAUGCUGGUCAGCACUGCUUAUAACGGACGGUGAUCAUUUGACAAAUUUGACCUCAAAUCAGGUAGGACUACCCGCUGAACUUAA